ACGCUCGACACCUACGGUAGGCAGCAGUCGGGAAUAUUGCGCAAUGGAGGAAACUCUGACGCAGUGACGCCGCGUAUAGGAAGAAGGUUUUCGGAUUGUAAACUAUUGUCGUUAGGGAAGAGAAAGGACAGUACCUAAGGAGGAAGCUCCGGCUAACUACGUGCCAACAGCCGCGGUAAUCUGAGCGGGCUGGCAAGGC
rnacentral:rRNA from 1 species